rnacentral:rRNA from 1 species
UAAGGAAUAUUGGUCAAUGGACGCAAGUCUGAACCAGCCAUGCCGCGUGAAGGAUGAAGGUCCUCUGGAUUGUAAACUUCUUUUAUCUGGGACGAAAACGGGAUUUUUAUCUCAAUUGACGGUACCAGAGGAAUAAGCACCGGCUAACUCCGUGCCAGCAGCCGCGGUAAUACGGAGGGUGCGAGCGUUAUCCGGAUUUACUGGGUUUAAAGGGUGCGUAGGUGGGCUUAUAAGUCAGUGGUGAAAUCUCCGAGCUUAACUUGGAAACUGCCGUUGAUACUAUAGGUCUUGAAGUAUCUGGAGGUAAGCGGAAUAUGUCAUGUAGCGGUGAAAUGCUUAGAUAUGACAUAGAACACCAAUUGCGAAGGCAGCUUACUACAUAUAAAUUGACGCUGAGGCACGAAAGCGUGGGGAUCAAACA